GACGAACGCUGGCGGCGUGCUUAACACAUGCAAGUCGAACGAAGUGGCGGACGGGUGAGUAACGCGUAAUCAACCUGCCCUUCAGAGGGGGACAAUAGUUGGAAACGACUGCUAAUACCGCAUACUGAAGGAGGGGCUUGCGUGUGAUUGGCAAGGUGGGGGGGUAAAGGCCCACCAAGGCGAUGAUCAGUAGCCGGGUUGAGAGGAUGAACUGCCACAAUGGGACUGAGACACGGCCCAAGCUCCUAAGGGGUGCAGCAUGGGGGAAUCUUCCGAAAUGGAGGGAAGUCUGACGGAGCAACGCCGCGUGAGUGAUGACGGCCUUCGGGUUGUAAAGCUCUGUUAAUCGGGACGCGGUACCGGAAUAGAAAGCCACGGCUAACUACGUGCCAGCAGCCGCGGUAAUAC
rnacentral:rRNA from 1 species